rnacentral:rRNA from 1 species
GUCUAUGGCCAUGCCACCCUGAACAAGCCCAAUCCUGUCUGAUCUCGGAAGCUAAGCAGGGUUGGGCCUGGUUAGCACUUUGAUGGGAGACCACCUAGGAAGACCAGGUGCUAUAGGUG